GAUAAUAAGUGUUGAAAAGUUAGACGAUGUUCAAGUUUGGGAUGAAAAUUUUAACCAUUUUUAAAACUCCAAUUUCUCGCCUUGCAUAAAUUACCAGAACUGAAAAGGAUAUAUCCCAAAGCCUUGUCCUUUUCCUUUCUAGAAAAAAUCAUUUUAUGUGAUUGCCCACAGCUUACGAAGCUGCCAUUAAACUCGAGCAGUGCAAAGGGAUGCAAAGUUGUGAUUGAAGCAGAGGAAAAAUGGUGGAAAGAUGUUGAAUGGG
rnacentral:misc_RNA from 1 species